rnacentral:ncRNA from 1 species
GCAACUUGCAGUUGUUUUAAUAAAAUUGGUUCCUUAGGUUAUUUGCCUCUCUUCGUGAGAGGCAUUUUUUUUAUGUAUUUU